AUUCUCAACCCAACAAGUUCUUAACGGGACUUUGCUUGUGGCUUGGACUUGGAGGUUUGUCGGCUCAUUAGCAGUCGGCUCCUCUCAAAUGCAUUAGCUUGGUUCCUUGCGGAUCGGCUCACGGUGUGAUAAUUGUCUACGCCGCGACCGUUGAAGCGUUUUAAUGGCCAGCUUCUAAUCGUCUCUUGCGAGACAGCAUUCAUCGAA
rnacentral:misc_RNA from 1 species